CCGGCUCUUGCCCAGUGGUGAAGUAGAUCUCGCUGGGGCCUCCAAAUGUUGUACCUGAGCGAGUUAGAGCAACGCCACACUUUAAGACAAAUUUAAGAGUCCUUUAUUAG
rnacentral:pre_miRNA from 8 species